GAUGGCGGAAUAUCUGAGGAGGGUUAGAACCGACAUUAUGCAAUUGAACACUUUCUUAGCGGCCGAUUCUCGUAUUGAACUAGCUCAGCUUUCUAUCGGAGAUGGGCUCACACUUUGCAGGCGUGUCAAAUAGACAUUUUAUAUUUCUAUACGUUUUAAUUUAUAUGAGUUUUAUGCUCGCUGAAGGAUCGUAGAGAACAACUUCAAUGAUUGUAUUUGUAUUGUUUUUCUGAUAAGUAUCUAUUUAAAUAUUUAUAUUUAUGUCAAAAUAAUCAAUCUACAUUUCUUUACUUAUUUUUUUUAUUUUAUUUUUAUAUUUUUAUUACUUUUAUCGAAAGCUUAGUCCUCCAUAUAUAUAUUUCACUAAACCGCCUAUGUCUAUAUGAAGUUAUUUAUCAUAAAUGCUCAACAUUUUAUCUUUCUUCAGCCUUAGUGGAGACAUCACAAAAUAUGCAGAAUGUUAGGUAUGUGGGCCUCUCUCGACCCUACAUUUAGUGAUAAACAUUGGAUGGAUUUCUGGUUGAUAGUGUAUUUUUUUUGUAUUUUUCUAAAACUCCUAUAAGUUAAUUCUAGUAGAAGAAUAUAUAAUAAAUAAUUAAAUAUAAUAUGUGUCGGCAGAAUUAACCCAUUAAGUAUUUAUCAUCGGGUGUAGGGUCGAAAGAACCAUGUAUAUGGAUAAUGUAUUGACUAAUCCAUGAAAUACGAGAGAUCAGUUGGAUAGUUUGUAGUAGAAACAAAUAAGCUCAAUCGUUUAACAUGCAUAUGUAUUAUAAACAAAUACAAACUUAGUGUUUUCUUUUAUAAUAAAAUUACCCACAACCUAGUUUCUAAUUGUAUCACUAAAUUGUGAUUUCAAACUUUUUUUUUUCUGUUGUGAGUCUCUGAUGUUGACUUUUUUUUUUUUGUCUAUUUUUUUCUUCGCCGCCGUUGACCAGGCUUCGGAGACAUAUAAUUUUUUUAUUUUAUUUUUCAAACUUUUUCCUACUUUUUUUUUGCCGCCCGCCGCUAACUUAUGACAGUAAUAUAUUACUCUAGUUGACAGUAAUAUUAUUUAAACACGAUAAUAUUAUUGUCAAUCAUAUCAAUAUUAAUUUUUUCAUUCUUUUUAUUUAGUUCGAUUUGUUGACCGGCAAAUAUAAUAAUAUUAUUGUUGUUGACCGUCAUAUUACUGUCAAAAUCACUAAUAUUUUUGUGGUUCAUAUUAAUAUUAAUAUCGUGCGACAGUAAUACUACAAUCAAUUACAUCAAUUUAAUUGUUUUGGCCUUUUAUUUUGUUUUCCUAUGUUUACUGGUCAACAUGUAUAAUAUAUUAUUGUAUUACACAUAUUUUAUUAUAAUUAUGUAACAUAGUAAUUUUAUUAUAUGGGAUUUUUAUGCAAAAGUCCCCAACCAAGCAUGUUUAUUAUUCUAGGUUUAGGGGACAUAUCUCUUUUACCAAUAAGCCCAUCCCUUUAAUAUUUAUUAUAACUAAAGGAAACAUUCAUGUAUAUCCCAAAAUUACCCUCAACCAUUUAUACCCAAUUCUUAAUUGUAAUCCAAAUUAAUCAAUUUUAUCCAUAAAAGUUCAAUUUUGACCACAAAAAUUCAAUUUUGACUUUUUUUUGGAGUAUAAUUUAAUAUGCUCCAAUUUCAUCAUUAACUUAAUUUAAUCUCAAUUUGACCCCAAAUUUCACAAAUUAUUAAAUUUUGACCCAAAAAUUUUUUUUUUUCAAAAAAUAUUUUUUUUUUCAAAAACUUUUUUUUUGCCGCCGGAUUCCGGCGUUGACCGGCGGUCAACGCCGGUCUCCGGCGUUGACUUUUUUAAUUUUUUUUUUUUUUUUUUUUCUUCCGGAUUUUUUCGCCGGUUUCCAGCGUUGACCGGCGGUCAACGCCGGUCUCCGGCGUUGACUUUUUUUUUUUUUUUUUUUUUUUGCUUUUUUCUUUUUUUUUUUUCUUUUCUUUUCUUCAGGAUUUUUUCGCCGGUUUCCGGCGGUCUCUUUUUUUAGUGUUUUUUUAAGUUUUUUGUUUUGUUUUGUUUGGUUUGUUUUGUUUUUCCACGUCCGCCGCUAAACGUUGACCGUAAUUGUGCUGUCACUGACAGUAAAUUAACGUAAUUAUACUGUCAAUGAUAGUUAAUUAACGUAAUUGUACUGCCGUUGACAUUACAUUUAUGUAAUUGUGUUGCCGUUGACAGUAAAUUAAUGCAAUAUUAUAUUUUUUUAUUUAUUAUUAUUUUUUUUUAUUUUUUUUUGAUUUGUUGACAAGUCAACGUAAUUAUAUUACUGUCGUUGACAGUAAAAUAACUGUAAACACAAUAAUAUUACUGUCAACAACAUCAAUAUUAUUAUUUUUUUGUGGUGUUUGUAUUAAUAUUACUGUCUAUUAUUGUAAUAUUACUGUAAACACAAUAAUAUUACUGUGGUUGACGGUAAUAUUACUGUUUGUUAUAGUAAUAUUCAUGUCAACCACAUCAAUAUUAUUCUUUUGUUUGGAUAUUUUGUUUGUUUGAGUUAUUCACGGAGUAACGUAAUAAUAUUACUGUCUACUAUUGUAAUAUUACUGUUGCUAUAGUAAUAUUACUGUCACUCACAGUAAUAUUAAUUCUUUUGGUUUUUUUUAUUUUGUUUACAUUUGUUGAACGGACAACAUAGUAAUAUUACUUUAUUAUACAAUAAUAAUGAAUUUUGUUGUGUUAAUAUUAAUGUGCUAGAGAUUAAUAUAGCAAUAUCACUGUGUUAAACUAUAGUUUCGUUAUUUUUACUGUGUUUAACAGUAAUAUAGUUAAUAUUACUGUCAUUCAAAGCAAUAUUGUUGUUUAAACGGAAAAAAAAGUUACAGAAAAAAAAAAUUAAAAAAAAAAUAAAAUAAAAUAAAUUAAAAAAAGUCAACGCCGGAGACCGGUGUUUACCGCCGGUCAACGCCGGAAUCCGGAAAAAAAAUCCGGAAGAAAAAAAAAAAAAUAAAUAAAUAAAUAAAUAAAUAAAUAAAAAAAAAUAAAUUAAAAGUCAACGCCGGAAUCCGGAAAAAAAAAUCCGGGAGGAAAAAAAAAAAAAGGAAAAAAAAAAAAAUUUAAAGUCAACGCCGGAAUCCGGAAAAAAAAAAUCCGGAAGAAAAAAAAAAAAAAAAAAAGUCAACGCCGGAAUCCGGCGGAAAAAAAAAGUUUUUGAAAAAAAAAAAUUUGUGAAAAAAAAAAGUUUUGGGUCAAAAUUGAAUAAUUUGUGAAAUUUGGGGUCAAAUUGAAGUUAAAUUAAGUUAAGGAUGAAAUUGGAGCAUAUAAAAGUAAGAGGGGUUAUUUUAGUCCUUUACAUAAAUCUGGACCAUGUGUGGACUUAUUGGUAAAGGAGAAUAUUGUCUGGAUCUCUUUAUGAAUAAGUUCCCACUGAUGGGUUUAUUUGUAAUAUGCCCUUAUUAUAUUAUUAUUACUGUACCUAUAUAGUAAUAUAACAAUAUCACUAUUUACAAAAAUAAUCAAAAUAAACACGCAAUAAAGUGGAGGAUUUAUUAUUUCGUUCUCUUCGUCAAUUGGGAGGUAAUGUAUUACCGGCAUACGUGAAUUUGAGAGAAUUGUAUUUAUAAAAAAAGGGGGAAAAACUAGCUGAAGGUUACUUAAAAAUAUUCUCUAUAAUAUAAGGUGAGGCGAAUUUUGCCUUUUUACUAAAAGUUUUUGUACGCUUUCUCGCUCUGUAUCUGACGCUAGGUCUGGUGUCUUGCUAAUGGAAUUUUUUAGAAAAAAUAACAGUAACGGGGACGUGGUGAUUUGCACAGCUUAGUUACUAAGCAACAAUUUAGUUAUAUUAAUAAACACAACUUAGUUAAAAUGAACUGAAGAAAAAACAAAAAUAAGAAUAGAUGCAUUCCACAACACAUAUACUACUUACACAUACAUCUUAUAAACUUAUUUACCUUGUUUAGUUACAUUAACGAGAAAAAUUUAGGAAACAAACUUGUUUUGUAUGUAAUUUUACUAUGAAGUUAGAAAUUUAGAAAGCUUAUUUGCAUAGCUUAGUUACACAACUUAAUUAAAAUAAGUUGAAGAAAAAAAAAUAAUAUUUGGUACGUACAUCACCACCAACAUUAACAUCACCAUGACCAUCACCAAACAAUUAUUCAUAUUUUCCCGUUUUGCUUUCCAUGAUUCAACGGAGAUCAAUGAGUGUAACCAAAAUCGUAUGUCACUGCGUGUUUGUGGUUGGUAAGUGUGUGAUUAUGUGGCGAAGCUUCGAUGAUGAUAGCGGCAGAGAGGGGGGGUGGAGCAGAUUUGACGAAGUGUAGUGGGUUAAACGGAAUUUGACGGGGAAAAAUUAGGGUAGCGCGACGAAGGCGGGUGUGAAGAACAGAAGAUUUUCAGAAAAUUGCAAAAGUUGGUAUGUCAUGAAUUGAAUGACAAUUAGCGCUCAAAGGUGUUCAGCAAAUUGCCCCAAAUAAAAAACCCGCAGUAUUACACAUUGACCCGCAAUAUUCAUAGCAAUAUUCAUACUGACCCAGAUUUUAACAAAAUGUAUCACAUUAAACCCGCAAAUUCGACGUUGGAGACCGGCCAGAAAAAAAAAUUCUUAUAAAAAAGGUUAACCCGGAAUCUGGCUGGAAAAAAUAAUUUCAGAAAUUUUCUCAAAAAAAAUAUAAAUUCAAAUUAUGAAAAUGGUGGUUAAUAUGAUAUAUUUAUUUAAAUCUGGGGUCAAUGUUCAACCUCCCAUUUGUCCUCGUCGUUCGUUUGUGCAAGUGAUGACUCUUGUCAAUAUUUCGCCUCCUCUUACAUUGUUCCAGCCCAUCAAUAUUUAUUUUCCUUCCAAGCCUCCAACCUAUAUCAAAUUAUCAAUAAUGAACCAGCAUAUGCUAGCAGAAAAACCCUUUUAAUACAACCAUUAACCGUCGUAAAAGGUACCUGUAAAACAAAUUUUGCAUCGCAUUUGUUAUGAUUUUUUCCAGUCGCAUAUACGGGUGUGACAAAAACUUUGCUACAGUAAAUCCUAACACUUACUACGACUUCAAGAUUGUUCCAUAGUAAAAGAUAGCUUUUUGUUGUAUUUUUUACCAUAGCAAAAAAAAUUAUAGUCAAAAACUAUUUUUCUACUAGUGAUAUAUAAUGUACUCCAUGUUGGAAAUCUAUCAGAAUACGAAGCAAUUCGAUAACAUUUUAAUAUUGAAAAUCUCUAGCGGUCGUCCAAGUAUACAUGAUAUCAAACUGGCAUCAUGGCACAGUGGAAACUUAGUGACGACCCGGUGGUAAGUCUGACCGAUCCCAGACACGUUGUCAUGAUCCCGACAGAUAAAGACGAUAUGGUUUAGGUACUAUAUAGGGAUUCCCAUGUCAUAGGAAUACUAAGACCUCAUUUGGUUGCAAGGAUAAAUUAGUCAAGAUAAACAAUCUAAUAAAACUCAAUUAUAUUAUUGGACCUUCUAUGAUCUAAUAAAAAACAUGUCUAAAAAACCAAGAUAAGGCAUGAUAAAAUACUAUUUACGGGUCGACACGUGAAGUAAUUGGAGAUACCAAACAUCAAACAAAAAUUAAUUAUUUAGUUAAUAAUGGUUGAUAUUACCAACCAAACAAGGCGUAAAUAGAGAUCCAAGUCAACGUUAAACAACAGUCACUUACUUAGGGGGUCCUUUACUUGCUUUGUGAAAACUAAAAAAUGUAAUUUGACCAAUAAAUUUGGUGAUAAUUCGGAAUCUUUAUUUAAAAAUAGUUAGAUUGGAAAUUAUGUAUUCAAAAUAAGUUCAUAUUGACCCUGAUUUUAACAAAAUGUAUCACAUUGAACCCGCAAAUUCAACGCCGGAGACCGGCGGUUGACCGGCCGGAAAAAAAGAAAAUUUCAGAAAAAAAAAUUCUUAAAAAAAAAAGGUUAACCCGGAAUCUGGCUGGAAAAAAUAAUUUCAGAAAAAAAUAUAUUUUCUCAAAAAAAAAAAUCAAAUUAUGAAAAUGGGGGUUAAUAUGAUAUAUUUAUUUAAAUCUGGGGUCAACGUUCAACCUCCCAUUUGUCCUCGUCGUUCGUUUGUGCAAGUGAUGACUCUUGUCAAUUCUUCGCCUCCUCUUACAUUGUUCCAGCCCAUCAGUAUUUAUUUUGCUUCCAAGCCUCCAACCUAUAUCAAAUUAGCAUUAACGAACCAACAUACGCUAGUAGAAAAUACUUUUUUAAUACGACCAUUAACCGUAGCAAAAGGUACCAGUAAAAAUAUUUUUGCCACGCAUUUGCUAAGAUUUUGCCUAGUCGCAUAACGGGCAUGACAAAAACUUUGCUACAAUAAAUCAUAAUAUUUACUACGAUUCCAAGAUUGUCCCGCAGUAAAAGAUACCUUUUUGUUACAGUUUUUUACCGUAGCAAAAAAAUUGGUAGUUUUUUACCGUAGCAAAAAAAUUGGUAGAAGGUAAAAAAAUAUUUUUCUACUAGUGACAUAUGUACUCCAUGUUGGAAAUUGAUCAGACUAGUAGCAAUUCGAUAACGCUUUAAUAUUGAAAUUUUCUACGGUCAUCCAAGUAUACAUGAUAUGAAAACUGCCAUCAUGGCACUGUGGAAACUUAGUGAUUAACGAGCCAGUGGUAAGUUUGACUAAUCCCAGACACGUUCUCGUAAUUCUGGCAGAUAAAGACGAUAUGGUUUAGACACUAUGGAGGGAUUCUCAUGUCAUAUGAAUAUUAUGACGUCGUUUGGUGGUCAAGAUAAGAUUAGUCAAGAUAAACAGUCUGAAAAAACUCAAUUAUAUUAUUGGACCUUCGAUGAUCCAAUUAAAAACAUGUCUAAAAGACAGGAUAAUGCAUGCAUGAUAAAAUAAUAUUUACAGGUCGACCCGUAAACUUAUUUGGGAUACCAAACAUCAAACAAAAUUUAAUUAUCUAGUUAAUUAUGGUUGAUAUUACAACCAAACAAGACCUAAAUAGUGAUCUAGGGAGGAGUCAACAUUAAACAAGAGUCACUGACUUAAGGAGGUCCUUAUCGUGUAAUGAUCUUUACUUGCUUUGUGAAAACUAAAAAAAUGUAAUUUGGCCAAUAAAUUUAGUGACAAUUCGGAAUCUGUAUUUAAAAAUAGUUAGAUUGGAAAUUAUUUAUUCAAAAUAAAUUCAGGUAUCACCCAUUAGAUUCGGCGAGGAAGGAAGUUGGCAAUUGUUCGGUAGAGUGCAGACAAACUAUUGCACGAAAUGAAGAUUAGUGCACGUAUGUGGGUGCAAGUUUCUUUUUUUUUUAAUAAAAAACCUCAUUUUUUGUCCUCUAAUAAAAUAUGUUUUAAUUAAUAAAUGAAAAGUUAAAAAAGUCAUAAUCAGUAAUUAAUUAAUUAUAGUAUCAAUAAAUUAGAAGCUUUCUAAGAGAAAGAAAAAAGAUUUCAAUUUGCGGUGAAGAUAAUACUAUAAUUACUGUUUACUAAGAGGGUGUUUGGCUAAGCUUAUAAGAUGUUAAAAGAAGCUUAUAAGAUGUUUUAGAGCUUAUAAGCUCUUCCAAAGUGUUACGUAUUUUUUUAAAAAAAAUCUUAUUUUUUUUCUAAAUAAGUUGUUGGAGAAAAUAAGAUUUUAAAAAAAAAAUAUAUCUACCCCACAUUUUUAUUUAAGAUCUUAUAAUGAGUAAGAAAAAGGAAAUAAAUUCAUUAUCCAAACACUCUAAAAAUUAAUCCUAAAAAUAAGAUGUAACAGAUUAUCAGCUUUUAAAACAUCUUAUCAGACGUAUGAGUUUAUCACCUGUUUAAAAUAAGCUUAGCCAAACACCCUCUUAGUUGAAAAUCAGUCUCGCAUUAUUUUAUUUUUCUGGUAAUAAGGAACCUGCAACCAUACAGGUGCAUUAGGUUAAAAUCUACACUCUCAUAUAAUAGCUAGCAAAUCAUACGAGAUAUAUAAAACACACUAGACUAAUCAUGUGUGACAAUCUCAACUAAGCGCCGUUGACAAGGGAAUUCAAACGUGGGUCAAUUGAUACAUGCUCACACAUGAUCAGCCUAGUGUGAUUUACAUCUCUCGUACAAUUUACAAGCUAUUAACAAGAAUGUAAGUUUAUCCGAUGCAGCUAUAUAGUUUACUACAGAUUCCUUCAUUAAAAAAAAAAAGCAAAUCAGUACCUACAUAUAAAACAUAGGCAUAGUACUAUUGUUGGACCAACUCUAUUAUAAUAAUUUGAUUAAUUUCCAAUAAAAGUUUGAACUUGUCAACAGAAAAAAAGAGAAUGGAAACGAGACAGACUUUGACUUUUUCACCAAUAAAAACAUGUUGACUUUGCACCAACUUUUUCAAGCCCCAAACUUUGAACAAAUUAUUUUUUUGAAUAAUUCGCAUUAUUCCUUUUAUUUGUCAGAUAUCCGACGAGUUCUUGCCUUUUUUAUUUUCAUACAUCAUGUGACAUCUUACUAAGUAGUUUAAUUUGGUAUAGGUGAAAGUUGGAGCAAUUUUUUUUUAAUAAUGAAGAAAUCUGCAAUUAAUUAUAUAGAUAUUGGGAUAAAUUUAUUGUCUUGUAUAAUAUCUUGCAAACUAUACGAUAUAUAUAAAUUACACUAGGCUAACAAUGUCUGACAAGUUCUACUUAGCAACCGUUGAUUAUGAGAUUUGAAUUUGAUCAAUUGAUGCAGACUCACUUGCUCCAACUGCUAGGUCAUCCCUUACGGGUACGUUAUGAAUAACCUCCUAAAAUAUGAUUGAACCAUAUUUUUCUUCUCCAUUGCAAGGAAUAAAUAGAAUUUAUUUCUAACUAGUAUUUUUUCCGUUCGAUGCAUUUGAUAGCAUUUCAAAAAUAAUUCAUAUAAUACAUGACAAUAACAAAUAUAAUAAAACUAUAUUACAAUAUUCUAAUAAAAUUUAUCGGUAACAACAUCAACAGUUAUAUACAAUUUUAAUAAUACAAACUCACUCGACAAAAGAUUAUAUAAAAUUAAAUAUCAUAAUAUGAAAUUGAUAGUUAAAUAAAUGAUGUAAUUACUAAAGCAAAAUUAAUUAACAAAUUUACACAUAUGUCAUUAACAAGAAAAAAAUGAAAUAACAAAGAAAGCGACAAUCGUUUCAUUGAAAUAAGAUUUUAAAACUUAGUAGAGGAAAUAAAUAAAACAAACAUAAUCAAAAAAAAAAUAUUCGAUUGCUUAGGGGUGCUCUAGAAUUAAUUCAGUUUUUUUUAGAGCAAAAAACUUGCAAAUUUCAUUACGGUAACGAAUCAGUAUCUACAACUUCAAGAAUAAAUUUUGGUAACACCGUGGAAUUAAAAUUCUCUUUGGAUGAAUGUCUAGAUGAGCUGCACGAUUGCCUUCUCUCUUGGCGUGACAGACUUAGAAAGAUUCAAAACAUAUUGCUAAUCUCUUAAUGUCGUCAAUGAUGUUCCCAUAUUUCGAUUGCACACCCAUAUCUCUCCCUCAAUAGCAACUACAAUUAUGCUUGAAUCACCUUCCAAUAUAACCUUAUUCCACCAAAACACAAAAUUUACAUUUUUGUGUAUAUAUUGUGUUUUUGAAAGCAUUUUUUUGUAUAUAUUCAAACUCAAAUUAUUCUGCAACAAACAUCUGAAAAAAAAAAAUUAAUUCUUUUUUGUUUUACAUAUUUUUUAAGUUGUAUCACAUUUGAAGAUGUGCACCGUAAUUUAUAUUAUUUAUUUGUCUUAUAUCAUCAUCGAACUCUCAUAAAAUAAAUUGAAGGUACUAGUCUAACGGCAAAGCAUUAAAAUAAAUCAUUAAAUAUUAAUUUGAAUCUAGUUUUAUUAUUUUGAUACCCAUUUACACCAACCACAGUUACUAAAUAGGUUAUCAAAUUUUAAUAUAAGAAUAAAUAUAUUUAAAAUGGACACAUGUCAAUUCAUGAUAGGUUAUUUGAGUAGUUAAUUUUGUGACAGCUCUUUUUGCCCCAUGAUGCAUUUUCAUUUACUAACCAAUGAAUUAAAUUAAAUUAAAUUAAUUAAUUAAUUCCUAUUAAUCGAUGGACGAUUUCAAUUUGCACGACUAACCAACGAAUACCAAAAACAAAAAAAAAAUAUACUAAACAUAUAUUUUUUAUAUUUAUAUUUAAAAUAAAAUAAUGAUAAAUACAUAUGAUUGAGAGGGGUUGUUUGAGAGUGGGGGAUGGAAUCAAAUUGAUUGAUUGGGUCAAUUGAGGCGUUCAAAGCGUUGACUCUCCAAAAUGUAUUAGCCUUAUAAAUUGGAGCUAACACUUUCCAAAGUUUCAAACAAAACAUUUCAUCAUCACUUGGUUCAUCAAACUAAAUUGUUUCUUUUUUGCUCUCAAUUUUCUCGAAAAUGAAAGAUAAGUUUACAGGGACUAUUCUGCAAAGUGAUGCACUCGCCCAGGUACUUAAAUUUCUUUGUCCGACUUUUAUUUUCUUUUAAAAAUAUCUCACUAGAUAGUCUAUAUUUUAUUUUGUUUCAAUAGUAUUAAUAUUAUUUGGAUUGCAGUAUAUUCUGGAAACAAGUGCUUACCCGAGAGAGCAUGAGCAACUCAAAGAACUACGAAUGGCUACCGUCGACAAGUAUCAGUGGUGGUACGAAAAUAUACAAUUUUUCGAAUCUUCUAUUUUUAUUUAUUUUUUCUUAUUAUUAAUUAUUAUAUUUAAUUUAUUAUUAUUAUUAUAAUUACAGGAGUAUGAUGAAUGUAACUGCUGACGAGGGCCAAUUCAUAUCACUAUUCUUGAAAAUGAUGAAUGCAAAGAAAACAAUUGAGGUUGGAGUUUUCACUGGCUACUCUCUCCUCACUACUGCUCUUGCCCUUCCUAAUGAUGGCAAGGUAAGUAAAUUAUUAUAUUUUUUUUAAUUAGGAUAAUUACGCGACCACCCCGUAAGAUAAGAUCAAAUUACAAAAAAAAUCCUCAUGUUUGAGUAAUUACAACCACUCCUCAACUAUGUAUUGUCUUACUUACCUACUUAAGAAGGGGUUUAUCCGUAAGAAAACACAUAAUUGAGAAGGUGAUUUUAAUUACCCAAAUAUGAACGGAUUUUUCUCGUGAUUUGACAUUACCUCAGAGGUUGCCGUAGUUAACCCAAAACAUAAUAAUAAAAUAAAAAUUAUAAAUUAUUUUUGGUUUGUUUUGUGUAGAUAAUCGCAAUUGACCCGGACAGAGAAGCAUACGAGACUGGAUUGCCAUUUAUUCAAAAGGCAAACAUGGCACACAAGAUUAAGUUCAUUCAAUCUGAUGCCUUCAAAGUUAUGGAACAGCUCAAGGCCAAUGUAAUUAUUUUCUUCUCCUACCUAAUUAUUUUAUUUACAAGUACAUUUAUGAGGAUUAAUUGUUUAAUUGCCGUAUUAAUUUUUUUUUAAUUUUUAUUUUUUAGGGUGAAGAAGGAACAUUUGAUUUUGCAUUUGUGGAUGCGGACAAGCAGAACUAUAUCCACUACCACGAACAGCUAUUGAAACUGGUUAGGGUUGGGGGAAUAAUUGCCUACGACAACACAUUGUGGUCGGGAACUGUAGCAGCGUCCGAUGACGAUGAGAUGGAGGAAUACCUGAGGAGGGUUAGAAUCGACAUUAUGCAAUUGAACACUUUCUUAGCUGCUGAUUCUCGUAUUGAACUCGCUCAACUUUCUAUCGGAGAUGGGCUCACCCUUUGCAGACGUGUCAAAUAGACAUUUUAUUUGUUUUUAUCAAAUUUCUGCAUCUAUUUCUCUCCUUUUUAUAUGUAAUAAUGUUUGUCUUUCUCAAUCUUUAAUUGUGUAUUAUGCUUUUUCGUCAAUGUAUCUUAAUGAGUUACAUGAUUUCAUUUUAUAAAAUGUAUUUAAAAGCUUUUUUUAUGAGUAAUAUACAAAAAGUACUCAUGUGUAAUUCAUAUCUGCCAAAAACCCCCUAUAAUAAAAACAAGGGUUAAAUACAAAAA
rnacentral:lncRNA from 1 species